AGAUUGAUGGCUCAAGUGGCAGCAGCAGCGGCAGCAGCAGGGAGAAGCACACCUGUGUUGUCCAGUACAUCCUCUUCCCCCCACACUCUACCUCCACCAAGGACAGCUUCUCCACAGAUGAUGACAAUGAUACAGAGGUGGAGGCCAUUGAGGUGGACACAGAACUGAACCUGGUCACUGAGUGCUGGGUAGAGCCACAGAGCGGCCAUGUUCACAGUACUGCUGAGAACUGGAAGCACCUCCAUGGUUUGCCCUACCAGAAAAUACCUAA
rnacentral:lncRNA from 1 species